GUCCCCGCUCUUGCCCGUUGAACAAGAAAAGGUUCUAGCUUUAUAAAACCCAGCAAUCUUAGUACUAUUAAACUUGAGAUCCAGUAAUCACUAAUCAUACUCGAUCUCUGCACAUAUUUCUUCUCUUUCUCGCGAAAUCCGAAGAUAAUGAAGUUUGAUACUAGUGGUCUCGAAUCCACUUCUUCGGUCUUUGGAACGGCCGGUAGGGAGCUUGUUGAUGGGUUUUCUGCUGCUGCUGCUCCAGCUUUUGAGCUACCCACGACUAAGGAUUUUGAUGGCUUCCAGAAGGAAGCUGUACAGAUGGUGAAGCCGGCUAAGGGGACAACUACGCUGGCCUUUAUCUUUAAGGAGGGUGUCAUUGUUGCAGCUGAUUCUCGUGCUAGCAUGGGGGGCUAUAUUUCAUCACAGUCAGUUAAAAAAAUCAUUGAAAUCAAUCCCUACAUGCUUGGUACAAUGGCUGGUGGAGCUGCUGAUUGCCAGUUUUGGCACAGAAAUUUGGGCAUUAAGUGCCGACUACAUGAAUUGGCAAACAAGCGUAGAAUUUCAGUUACAGGGGCAUCAAAGCUUCUGGCAAACAUUCUGUUCUCUUACCGUGGAAUGGGCUUGUCUGUUGGGACAAUGAUUGCUGGUUGGGAUGAAACGGGUCCUGGACUAUAUUAUGUGGACAGUGAAGGUGGAAGGCUGAAAGGAACAAGAUUCUCUGUUGGAUCUGGUUCUCCAUAUGCAUAUGGUAUACUGGAUAGUGGGUACCGAUUUGAUAUGUCAAUUGAAGAAGCUGCAGAGUUAGGUAGAAGAGCUAUUUAUCAUGCAACGUUCCGUGAUGGGGCCAGUGGUGGAGUUGCAAGCGUUUAUUAUGUGGGAGCAAAUGGAUGGACGAAACUAUCUGGCGAUGAUGUCUCAGAGCUCCACUACAAAUACUAUCCAGUUGUGUCAGCUGAAACUUCAGAGCCGGACCAGAUGGUUGAAGCAUAAAGUAGGAAAUUGCCGUCACGCGCUGUUUACAUUUUCGUACUACAGAAAAGAACAAGGGACCAGUUGGAGUAAAGAUCAACGGCCGACAUAUUAUUGCUGUAUGAGCUAUCACUAAAAUACCUGCCUUCACUUGACAUGCAAUGCAGAUGUGUAAAUUAUGUUGUAUUUAUUCUCAAAAUCAAGCUCGAUCACUCUUGAUUUCUUGAAACAAGUCACAAGAAAACAAUAAUAGGAGCUGGAAAGAGCAUCUGUCUCUCUCUUUAUUA